GACAGAGGCCCCAAGCGUUAGGCGGAAUCACUGGGCUUAAAGCGUGUGUAGGCGGACGCCUAAGUGUCUUGUGAAAUCCCACGGCUCACCCGUGGAACUGCUGGGCAUACCGGGCGUCUUGGGCCAACUAGGGGCAGCCGGAACAAGCGGUGGAGCGGUGAAAUGCGUAGAUAUCGCUUGGAACGCCGAAGGUGAAAACAGGCUGCUGGGGUUGCGCCGACGCUGAGACACGAAAGCCAGGGGAGCAAACGGG
rnacentral:rRNA from 1 species